GGUUGCAGGGGUGCAGCGGGGCGGGCGCAGGGCCGGGGGCGGGGCGCCGCCGCCUGCCAGCCGCUCCCGCAUUAAAAUUUCAUGCGCGCUGCAGCAGCUACGAAGUCGGCGCCGGCUGCGCUCGGGGGACCAGCGGGAGGGAGGCUGCGGACGAGUGCGGGGAGGAGUCUGCGCUGGGAGGCGCUUGCAGGGGCUCCCCCAGUUCUGCGCCGAGAGCCGCGGCACAAAGAGCUCUCUGCGCCCACCAGAGCCAGCGCCUUCCAUUCAUUCCCGCACUUCCGGAGCUCCAGUCGCAGACGUGCGGUGUCGUCCCGGGCGGCUAGAAGGGGCCGGAGAGGGCUGGCCGUGGUGGUGACAGCGGUGCCGGCAGCGAUACUUGGGCUUGCUGCUCCGCCUGCGUUCUUCCGGCAAGCCCACGAGGGUGGGACUGCACUCUUUGGGCUUGUUUGCAAUGGCAGCACAGCCUGGUGGAAAGAGCAGGGUUGGCCAUGACACCUGUCCGUGUGCAAAUCUUCUCUGAGCUCAGUCUGCUCAUCUGAGAUUGCUGUGAGGCCAUGCACACUGUGGCCUCUCCCUGCCCAUGCACGUGGUUUCUGAGACACGCGUGUGGCCGCCAUGACCCAGUGGCAGCAAAGGGCCCGGGGCUGUUUGCAGAGUACGGCGAUCCGGGGACCCAGGAGACAGAAGAGAGCGCCCAGAUUGUUCCGGACCUGCACGGUCAGCGGGAGCCACCUUGCAGAUAAGUGUGGGACUGGCCAGCCUGCAGCCCUCUGGCCCGCCCCCUGCUGGCCUGUUCAGCAAAGUGCUGGAUCCCAGGAUCAGGAAGAGGGAGGGAGGGUAAUCCGUGAGGCCCCUACUCACUUUUCUACCUCUGUGCCAGAAAGAAAGAGCUUGUCCCUGUUUUGUGGGGCGCAAGAAAAGGCGAUCGGUAUUCCGGAUUCCCGACUCGCUGUCCAGUGCUCCCUCCCAGCCGUCAGCAAGCUGCAAGUUUCUCCUGUGUUCUCUCGGGUCGCCUGUGACGUUGCUGGGGAGCGGGUGGGGGUGGUGCAGGGAGACCUGGCCUCCGCGCUCUCUGGGGAUGUUCUGGGGUGGGAGCCAGGGGAGGUGGAGAGUGGUGCGCCCCCACCCCCCGCCGGGCUCCCAGGCCACCUGCUCACCAGCAGGGAGUUCUGGCUAUGCCCAGGCUGGGGCGGGGGUUGGGGUAGGGGUGGGGGGAUGGUGAGGGCUGGAUGCUGUUUUCUCCCGAGUUGUGUUUGGUGCUUUUUUUUUUUCCUUCCAGGAUGGGGCUGUGGGGUCGACAUGGGGAAUGAGCCGGAGCCGGGCCUGGGCUGCCGAGGCACUGGCUGGAGGCUGCCAGGGCAUGCACUGCGUCCCUUCUCUGAGCUGGACUCGGGGAUCCAGCGGUGAGCACCUGAGAUGCCCCGUACUGUUCCCUGGGAUCUUCAGGAGCCUCUGCUCCGGCCGCGUGGCCAGGACUCCAGGCCUGGUGCCAGCAGCUGUCAGUGGUUUUCUGGACCUCUGGGUGAUCCUGCCAAGACCUCAGCCUUCCCCAUGCACAGGACGGAGCCUGCUGUGGACGCGAGCCCUCCCUGGCCGACACUCCGCUGAGGACUGAACUGGAUGUCAAGGGCAGCUCAAGGGUACAGCAGGGGCCGCAGCAGCCGCCUGCCUGUCGCAUCUGCUGGGCUCCAGUGUCUGGGGCUGGGGGUCACUUCCUGACCCCGCUUGGACUCGGUUCCUCCUCGGGUCUCUGCCUGCGACCUGGGGCCAGGUCUCCCUGACCACGCCUUCCCUCGGGCUGUGUCUCAGAGGAAGCCACAGCUCGAAGCAGGCGUGAGACAGGGGUCGGGAGGGGCUCUGCGCGGGCUGGAGGCUGUGGGGACUUCCUAGGGGACACUUUCCCUGGUGGCUUGGGAGGAGUAGGGGCCUGGCCUCAGGGUGCUCCAGCUCUGGGGGCUUGGUGGGGGUGCAGCUGGAGGGGCAGCGGGGGCAGUGCCCUGGAAAGAUAGUUCUUGGGUGAGGAGGCGCCGAGGCCAAGGAGACGCAUUAGGAAAGACAUAGCCAGCUCCAGGUGCGGUGCUGCUACCUGCAGGCCUGAGGGGCUGCCCCCGGCUCCAUCUCAGGAUGCUAUGUCCCAGUCGGACCCCUUGGAGCUCCUCCCACCGUGGCUGGAUUCUGGCCCUGGGAGCAGAGGCUGGCAACCCCCGUCCCCACUGCUCCCUUGUCCAUCUGUGAGUAGACCCCUAGGGAGGCGGUCGGCCAUCUCAGUGCCUUCCCGUGGCCGGGGUGGGGAGGAGGUGCAGGCAGGGCGGCGUAAACACUGGCCCUUUACUUUCCCAUAGCUGGGGAGGCUGUGACGGCUCAGAAGCCAGGGCUGGUUUUCAGCAAGUCCUCUGCCCACGGCGCCUCUGCUGUGUCCUCUGCUUACGAGGUCCUCAGCCCCGUUGGGCCAGAGCCCUGCCCCGUUGAACUCAUGCCCCCUUCGGCACAGCCCUGGAGGUCCCAUCUCGCACGCAGUGACACAGGGCUCAGGGCUUGGGCCCGAAUGGACUCUGGGGGAGACAGUUCUGUGUGUCAGGUGUGGAGAGCUGGAGUCAUCAACUCUUCAAUCAGGGAUGGGGAGGAGCAGAUGUGGAGAGGGGGGCAGGUGCAGGGCCUGGGUGGGCUGGGGGCAUCUGGGCACAGGUGGAGCUGGCGGGGACCAGGGCGGGAGGAGGCACCUCCUGGGAGCCAGGUCAGGUCUCUGCUGUGAGUUCUGCCGCACCCGUCUCAGACCAGUCCACUCCCCUCUGCUAGCCUCGGCUUCCACUUGCAGGGGGCGCCGCGUGCUCUCCUGGGAGCGAAGGGGGAUCUGAUGAGGUCGUGUGCUUGGCCCAGGGCCUGUUAGUAGCUGCCCGGUAAACACUGCCAUCCAUCUGGGAGUGUGGAGUUAGGGUUUAUCUAUUGUUGGCACGCUGGACUGGAGAACAGCAUCUUCCGACCCAGCCGCUUAGCUGUCCAACCCUUCCCCGUAUCUCAUCGGCUGGGGGAAGUGACUGCAUUUCACAGCCUCCAUGGUAGAUGGUAGCGGUAGUUCAUGGUGUUUUCUGGGGGUAUUUACUGUUUUUUUUUUUUUUUUUUAAGAUUUAUUUAUUUGAGAGAGAGAGAGAGAGAGAAGGGGGAGAGAGAGAGAAAGAGAGAGAUUUUUUGCAUCUUCCAGAUUCACUUUCCAAUUGGCCAUAACAGCCAGGUCUGGACCAGCCUGAAGCCAGGAGCCAGGAGCUCCAUCCUGGUCUCCCACGUGGGCGGCAGAGGCCCAAGCACUUGGGCAUCUUCCAUUGCCUCCCAGGCGGGCGCAUUAACAGCAAGCUGAUUGGCAGCUGAGCAGCCAGGACUUGAACCAGAAACCCCGACAUGGGAUGCAGGUGUUCCGAACGCCAGCCCCUGGGGUGUUUAAAUUCUGCUUCUGUCAUUAGAAUUGAGCACCCACUUGGAGCCUUUCCUGUGGGAGCCACCAGGGGGUGAGGAAGAAGGAGGGCAGAUGGGUAAAGACCAGGUCAUGGUUCAGAUCUUUAAGAUUUCACGGCCAGGCCAGGGGGAAGAAACCAGCUCCUGGGGAGCUGGAGAUGAGGGGCUAGGACCGUCUACUAAGGCACAGGUUCUGAGUCCUUGAGGCGCGGGGAUAAAACCCCUGAGGCUGAACCCACCAGAGCCUUGAAGGAGGAAAAAAAUAUGUCUAGACAAGAGCUUAUUGGGGGGAAGAAUUAGAGCGGAGAGCCACAUAGUAUGUUCUAGAUGUUGAAAAGAGAGUCCCGAUGCAGCGGGUUUCUCUAGUGCAGGGCUUAUCAGAGCGUUUAGAAUGCUCACGGUAAUUCUGGAUGUCCAGGGACAUCCAGGACAAAGAAGGGAGGGCUCCUAGCUUCUCUGGACACGCCAUUCUUUUCUCAUAGAAAUCAUUGUGAACCAUGAGAGAUGCGAGGCUGGGGGGUUGGGAAGGAAAAUGUAGCAGGGAGGUAGAUGGCAUAGCGAGGUGCCCUCAGGUGCAUGGUAGCAUCCACAGGAAAGGGGGCAGAGCAGGAGGGGCCAGGGAUGUGAACUUGGCUGCAAGAGCCAGGUCAACUCACUGCAGAUUCUGGAGGGCGUGGGGGAGAACAGGCCAGUGGUUGGAGCAGGUAGAGACCUGGAGGAUGGUGAUGGCGUCCACCGGGCAUGGUGGCUCUGGGGGACUGGGUGUUUGGUGGUGUGAUGCUGGUGUAGUGUGAGUGUGCCCAGGUGUGAAAGCACCCAGCCCCCAGGGGAAUGGGCUGCCUAGAACCAGGUAGGGGUUUCCAUUCAGAACAAGUAGAGAACUUUCGGGAGAACUGAAGUAUUUGGGGGUGGUGGUGGUGGGGUGGGGAGGAGGGGCUUGGAGACCCACAGCCACCAUGCUUCCGGGCAGGGUGCACGUGGUUGGGUUUGAUUCUGUGGGACCCCGGAGACUUCCAGGUGGACCCCCUGCCCUGGUGGGGCCCCGCUCCCGGGCUGGCGGGCUGCAGCUGGAGGGGCCGGGGAAGUGUGUUGCAUGUGUGAUUAACCUACUAACCCAGGGCUCGGCCGGGACGCUGUGUGACGAGGUGCUGGCCUUCUGCCAACCAACUAACCCACUAACCAGGCCCGAGCAUGCCCUACUAACCCCUCCCGCAGCCAGACCCUACUAACCCGCGCAGCUCAUGGGCCUUUCCAGGGGCUGGGACGUGGGGGCAGAGGAGGCUCUGCAGGACCCUCCCUGCCUGAGGGCUGGGGUCUUUGUGCAGACCCACAAUGCAGGGCAGGGCGAGUCAUGCCCACGCACCAAUUCUGCCACUUCCUGUCCGUGACUCUGAACACAACAUUUCUCUGGUCCUGUUCCCGCUGACCCCUACCUCACAGGCUGCAGUGAGGCGUGCCCAGAAUAAAGGGUCUUGGCACAGGGCAGAUACUUAAAAUAAAAAGGGUGGGGGUGGGGGUGGGACGCGCUGAAACCCCGGGGGCCCCGCCCCCUGCCUGGGCCCUGGUCUCUGGGCGUUCUGCACACAGACCCUUCCACCUGGGGCCAGACACUCCCUUGGAAGCCCUGGCCGUCCCUUGCCCAUUCUUCCUCCUCCUCAGCUCUCCCUCCUGGAGGCGGCUCUUCCGUCCCAUUACUAACUCGUCUAACGCAGGGGCGCCCCCACCCCGCCCCGUAACACACUAACGGACCCGCGUGCCUUCUGCCUUUCCCUCCUGGCGACUCCCGUGUGUGUCUGCUGAGGUGCCCCCGCCCGCUGGCGCUGCGCUCUGACAUACUAACCCAGCCCCUACUAACCCUGUUUUCUUACUAACCCCAGCCCUGCCGAGCUCUGGGCCCCCCACCCACCCCCGGGGGCCUGGUCCCCUUCCCUUUGGCAAGCACGUGGCCCAGGGCUGGCCCUGUAGACAGGUGGUCGGCUCUGCAGCCCCACACCGGCUGUUGGGGUAACAGAGCCCACUGGGCCAGGUCUGAGGCAGGGGACAACGCUCUAAGAACAAUGCAAGGGGUAGGGGGGUAGGGGAGGGGUCCCUGCGGCUGGAGGGCAGCUGGACUCUGAGCCUUGGUUGCCACAGGGUGUGGGCAGGACCAGGGAACCCUCUGGAGGCGUGAGUGUGGAGGCCUGCGGGUCUAGACAGUGGAGCUCUGGGCUUUUCCCAGCCAAGGGAGCAAAGAGAAGGGACAGGAGCCCCAACCAGUAAGUCCUGAAGGGGGCAUGUUCUACACCGGAAGUCGUCCGGCUGAGACGCCCCCAUCUUGGAUGGCCAUGGCGAGGGCGUGUCCACGCUGAAAAAUGAUGAGUGGAGCCUUUUGUUCUCAGGAAGCCAGCCAGCGAGGCUGUCCCCAUAUCUGAAGGUGGAGACAGGGGCUGUUCUGACUCGGAAGUCUGAGAGGGGCUUGCCCUUAGGCCAAGCUGGAGAGAAACAGGGCCAGUGACCAACGAGAGGCCCUUUCCAACACAGGAAGUCAGCUAGAGAGGCCCUUCCCGUACUUGGGGCUGAGAGGCGGCUUUCAGGAAGUAGAGUGCCCGGUCUUUUUUUCACACCGGAAGUCACUGGGAAAGACCCGCCCCAUCCCGGAAGCUAGGGGGCGCAGUUCUGCCCUGGGCAUGGUGUACUCAGGAGGAGGAAGCAGGGCUCGGGGGAGGAGCUGCCAAAGCCGCUCAGCUGCCCCCGCCUUGCGUUCACCCCCAGCUCCCCGUCCUGUUCCCAACAGCCCACCUCCCCCAGAGCCCGCCAGCCGCUCACACCAGGGCCACACCUGGGGGUGACUUCCGGCCUCACCUCCAGUAGGCACCUUGGUCGCCUUGGGCUAAUCUCUGGCUCCUGUGCACUAACUCUCGCUCCCGCCCAGCUACUCUCUGCCUGGCCCUGGCUGCCCCAGGGGCUGACCACUAACAGCCAACCCUGCCCCUCUAGGGGCUCCGGGCUCCUGGCCUGGCUCCCGUCGGCCCCUAAUUAACCCGCCCUCACCUUGACUAACUCCUGCCCUUCUGAUCUGUCCCUUUUAGCUGGAACUAAUGGCUUGCCGAGUUCUUUCUAACAGCAGGUGUAACACUCGUCCCUGUCACUAUUAACAGCUUGGAUGUUGGCAUGGCUGGGAAGGCUCUAUCUAACACACGUUUGGGACCUGACUAACCCAGGGAGAGGUGCAGUUAGCGAUGUGGGUGCUGGGGCACAGCAAAGAUCGUAGCCCUCCACGGGAGAUGCCGGGCUCUGGGCUGUGGCGUCCCUGGGGGGAUGCCCCAAGGAGGAGUCAGCCGCGAGCCAGCCUCUCAAGGGGUUGGCCCCUGGGCAGAUUGAUUCACACUUCACCAGCUGCAUUUGGUUUGGAUUAAAGAAAAAAAUAAGUAUCAUAGCUUCGUAGUGUGCAGCUAAGAACAGCUGUGUGUCUCGGGUGUGCCACUGUGUGUGGAAGGAGGAGGGUCUGGAGCUUUUGUUUUGGGGAUGCUGGGAUGUUUGGAUCGGGCUAUCCUGAAAUAUCGUGACUCCAUCAGCCACGUACACCUUAGCGUAAAUCAGCUCCACUCCGUCUCCUGCCAUAACUCUGCCAUGCGGUUUAGCUGCCCUGGGGAGAUGGGAGUUUGGUUGGCAGGGUGUCUGGAUCUCUUUAGGUCUGGGGAGGGGAGUGGUUUGGCAGCAGAGAGGGGGAGCUGUGAGGUCAGGGGUUCCCAGGGUCCCGGUGAGAGGCGGCUGGCUCAGGCUGGCGGGAUAGGAGAGCUUAUGGUCAGAAUUAGAGGCCAGCCCGGCAGCUUUAGAGACAGGUUGCUUGGACCAAAUGAUGCUGGUGACAGCCCGCGUCUAACAGUCACGGGCUCAGAGCUUGCCCAGGGUGGUCGCUGGCAGUGAGCUGUGAAGGGAGACCCAGACACUUAAAAGCAAGCGAGGAAUGAUGGCCUAGGCAGGUGCAGGGGCAGCCGGCAGGGACCUGGCAUGGGGCAGAACGCACUUGCCUGUCGCCCUCUGGUGGCCAGCUUGCCUCAUGGCACACAAAGCUGGGCGCUCAGAAGCGAAAACACGUCCCAACUACAGAGCUUUGGGUGUGCUGAGGCCCUGCUAUGUGCCAGGCGCCGCUCUGGAGGUGGAGCUCUGCACGUGGGAUCCCCCCCCCCCCAAUCUUGGUGCUUCUAUAGCUCAGUAGAAGUAGACAGUGACGCAGGGAGAAGGGUGUCCUUUGGGGCUGGCGAGAGGGCACAGACAAGAUUGCUGUGCACAUGCUGUGCCAGGCAUGGGGUGGUUAAAGGCCACUCAGUCUUUGCUAGCUUGAAUUCUCAUGUGUUAGGUGGGUGUAGGGGAGAGUAGGGGUAGGGAGACGCCUAGUCUUCCAUGGGUGUAGCAGUCAGGGUGGGCUUCCUGGAGAGGGAGAUAUCCAGACUGAGCCCUGCAUGGCUGGAGUGUGGCUGGGGAUGAGUUUAGGACAGCAAGACUGGCAGACACAGGGCUGUGGGAAAUGAGGGAGGAGCCAAGGAGAUUCAUGCAGAGUGUGGGAGGACUCAGAUGGGGACAUGGACAAGGCCUUUGGACUUUGUCCAGUGAGGGGCCAUGGAUGUGGCCUGAGAAGGUGAAGGAGUUGGGCUUCACUUCCAGCCCCAGGGAGCUUGUAAUGAGCUCUAAUCACAGCUGCCACAACCGAGUGCACUCUUGGAAAGGAGAAAGACCCUUCGGGCUGUCCUGAGAGAAACAGGUUGUAGAAACUCUCGCCCGGUUGCAGGCAGCUCUGCAGUGAUGGGGAACUAAAGAGGACCGAGGUGACAGUGAGGACUUGGGGUGGGGGGGCACAGUCCUGAAAUCCCAUCACCCCCGCUGGGUGGGGCCCCGGAGAGGCUGCAGGGAGACACGACGUGGGUGGUAGGUUUACUAGGAGAUCAGUGAGGGAGGGGAUUCCUUUGUCUUGGAGGCUGCCAGGGCAAGAGAACAGUGUGGUGUAGGCGCCCAAGAGGUGGCCCUGGCCCCAGAGAGGGGAAACACGUGUCUUCUGUCCCUGGAGAUGGAAAGAUGGGAACUGGGCCAACGCUGAGGCUGGCGGUGGCUGCGAGAUUCCCGGUGUGUGUGCGUGUUUUUUGACUCAGCCCACACGGGCACAUUCUGUCUGUCCCUCCCUGAUCACAACCUGAGGGUGCCCAUUCCCCCUGGCUUGCUCCAGCCCACUGGACUGCAGGCCGGCUGGGAGUCGGGCCUAAUGAACCGAGGACUUGGCUCUCAAUCUUUUCUCACUGGGCUGUGUGGAGGGAAUGGGCACCAUGGAGCCUGGCUGGGGGCUGUGCUGGUGUAGAGGGGGCCAGGUGCAGCCAGGAAGAUGCCUUGGGGGGGGGUGCGUGGUCCCAGCCCAACAGAAUACCCCCUACCUAAGAUGCUCCUGCGUGUCUCCGGGGCUGAUGGCGGGACAUCAACAGACCAGAAAAGGUGCUCGCGUUCCCCGACGUGACCUCCAGGGGGCGCCGAGGGAGGGCACAGAGAUUCUGCCGUGGAUGGAAAGCAAUGGGGUUUUCACACCGGGUCAGCCGUGUCGGGUCUCUUGGCUUUUGGUUUUCACCCAUGAAUGUAGCUGCUUCUGUGUAAAAUACCACGUUGAUAUUAAAUCUCGAUUCACACCCAAA